rnacentral:snoRNA from 1 species
CAGCAUCCUCUGAUAGACCACGAGCACUCCCCCUGUUGCUCUCUGGUUUGCAUCAAGAUGCAAAAAUAACCUCCUUGCGCUUUCUGCCUGCCUGCCUGUGGCAGCUCAGAUUGAAUGAGGGAAUACACGA